rnacentral:tRNA from 1 species
GAAUUUUAAGUAUAUUUUUUUUGUAUAACUAAUUGUUGAUUAGUAGGAAUUUGAGUUCU